GAUGAACGCUGGCGGCGUGCCUAAUACAUGCAAGUCGAGCGAACAGACGAGGAGCUUGCUCCUCUGACGUUAGCGGCGGACGGGUGAGUAACACGUGGAUAACCUACCUAUAAGACUGGGAUAACUUCGGGAAACCGGAGCUAAUACCGGAUAAUAUAUUGAACCGCAUGGUUCAAUAGUGAAAGACGGUUUUGCUGUCACUUAUAGAUGGAUCCGCGCCGCAUUAGCUAGUUGGUAAGGUAACGGCUUACCAAGGCAACGAUGCGUAGCCGACCUGAGAGGGUCGUCGGCCACCCUGGAUCUGAGGCACGGUCCAGACUCCUGCAGGAGGCCGCAGUAGGGAAUCUUCCGCAAUGGGCGAGAGCCUGACGGAGCAACGCCGCGUGAGUGAUGAAGGUCUUCUGAUCCUUAAACUCUGUUAUUAGGGAAGAUCAAAUGUGUAAGUAACUAUGCACGUCUUGACGGUACCUAAUCAGAAAGCCACGGCUAACUACGUG
rnacentral:rRNA from 1 species